UGACUGAGUUUGAGCUCAAAUAAAUGCCGCGAUGUCUGGAGCCCUUUGCAGAGGGCGCAAGGCAAAGCUUCUACAAUGGGCUCCUGCAUGUGUGGCUUAACUGCAGCCCCCCGGCCGUUUUGCACAGGGCUCUGCUGACUGAAGUGAUCCCCGCGGGCCGAGCUCUGCAGAGGAGGAAGAGAGGGAAGCGCUCCGCAGAUGCGUGCGUGCACUGCGCACGCGCGCGCGCUCCCAACUUCGCGCACUCACACAAUGUCCCUCUCACUCGUGGGUUGUGACCGGCCCAUGGCAUUGGCCAGAUGGCUUUUGGCCUCUCCUUCCUGCCCGCUGUCAUCGCGGCGGUUCCAGCGACCCGACAGCCCGGCCCAGUCGAUGUACUUGGCCGUAUCUGCGUGCGACCUGUCUGCCAUAUGUAAUAUCAAAGCCUCUGUCAGCACCGAGCUCAAUGGGAACAAAAGAGAGGCCUUCAUUAAUGAUUAACUGUUCUAAAAGCCCCGGCUUUUGUAUUCCCAUGGUGCCGAGGCUAUCUGGCCGCCAUGUGACAUGCUCGCAGCGUUUUUCGAGCAGAUUGGGGAAAGCUAGUGAGCAAACACAGGUGCUUUGGAGCGGCGUUGGCGACGCUGUCAGGGACAACCACAAACAAGAGCAGCUAUGCCUGGCUAAAUGAAUCCACCCUCCGCCUCCCCCAGACCCCCCCCCCCUGCCCCCCAUCUCCCUGUCACCGUCUAACUUGUUUGCCAGGCCACACAGCCUUCCUUAUGGAGAGUCCCUACACCCCCCACCACACAAGUCCAACGUCCACCGCAACUUCUCACACCCUCCAAAGAAACAAACAAAUAAAAGUGAGGACGGCCGACUGCUUCUUUGAGGUGAUGGCAUUUGCGGCGGUCUUGACUAGUGGAAGAGCAAACAAAUUAACGGUGUUCGAGUUUUCACUUUCCAAACCAAACUAAAUGUCUUUUAGUUCAAGUGGGGCAAUUCCACUGACCCCGGUGUCAACCGCUUGUGUAAGGACUCGCACGCUCAUGCACUUGAAAUGACCAGAACGAAAUUACGCGGGACUCGAGUACGACUGCACACAAAGCGGGUGAAUUAAUACACGGCAAAGUGACAAGUCACAAACAGAUCUUAAUGAACAAGUAUUGAUACUGACUUUAACUGAGAAUGUGCAGCAAUUAAUAUUUUCCUCCAGAGUGACUUGAUUGUUCACCCUGACUGAGCUCCUAUGUCGCCAUUUACUUUGAUAAGACAAUCUGAUGAUAGGAUGGCGUUAUCUUAACACGGCUUUCCGCCUGGGAGACAAAUGAACAAAGUGUGAUAACGGGAACAAAAGCUCACCUCUUAUUGGCCCAAGCGGCCUCCCGAUGGAAAAAUCACCAGCGUGAAAAAUUCACAUUUUCAUUUUUCUUCCUGGGCCUUUUAAAAUCACUCACACGUUUAUAAUGUCUCUCUUUGGUGUUUUAAUUUCAUGCGCUGCAAUUAACCGAGCCUAUAAAGCAUUUAUUGUCUGGAAAGAUGAUAAAAACGUACUUAAACAAACAUUUGGAAUAAACAGCUGAGGAAAUUAAGUUGUAAACACAAGGAAGAAUGAUGUGCAAUUAGAUCAUGAGACCUCAGUAAAAAUAUAACAAGAGAGGAUAAAAUUGCUAUGUUAGUUUGUGAAGCAAGAAAAGAUGCACAAAAAAGUAAUUCACUUCCAUCUUGACUUCUGCUGCUCACAAUUUUCAAUUCGCUCACAGUCAGUGGGGGCAAAGUCUGGGUUUUGUUUGCUCUAUUUCCGCAAAAUAAAUGGAAGAACUCCUGCACUAAAAACUUGUAAAAAUGAAAACAAUGAUUUUCUACUGUGCUGUAUUGUCUUGAAUAAAAAACAAUUCUCUCAA